rnacentral:rRNA from 1 species
AAAGGGUGCGUAGGCGGUUUAUUAAGUCAGUGGUGAAAGACGGUCGCUCAACGAUUGCAGUGCCAUUGAUACUGGUAGACUUGAGUGGGAUUGAGGUAGCUGGAAUGGAUAGUGUAGCGGUGAAAUGCAUAGAUAUUAUCCGGAACACCAAUUGCGUAGGCAAGUUACUAAGUCUCAACUGACGCUGAGGCACGAAAGUGUGGGUAUCAAACAGGAUUAGAUACCCCUGU